rnacentral:lncRNA from 1 species
AAGAAGUCCAUUCAUCCCUUCUGAGAGCACAGACGUGAGGCAGAGCAGGGGUGGGAAGUAGCUAUGAGUCGGAGGAGGGGAAGGAAACUGAAGUUAUAAAUAGGAUGAAAGAAGAAGAAAAAAGAAACCUAGAGUAUUUUUCUUCCUUUCUUUUUAUUCAGCACAUCUCCACCAACAAAAAAGUGCCACAGCUGGAGAAAUCAUUCCUUCAUCUGAGUCUUCAUCUCCCUUCUUUAUAACCCCACAAUAGCCUUCCAAAUGACAACCCAUCACUGAGGAGAACUGGGCCACAGCCCAGAGAGAAUUCCCGUGGCAGCUCUUUCAUCUGGACAGCUCACAAGGCAAAGGGCAGACAAGGAAGGCUCAAGGUUCUUGCCACAUCUUUCCAUCAGAGGGAGCCUGAGGAAGUGGCUACUGACUAGAGUUGCAAACAGAUUGCCACCAACUGAUGAGCCAGAAACUAGGAAGAGCCUCCCAAUCUGCCCGGCCUAUCACAGCAUGCCCCUGACAGUAACAAGCACUGUGCUGUGUCUCUCUGUUCAUUUCUGCUGCAGGAUGAAGCAUGGACAACAAAGCAGGUAUUUGUUUUAUUUUACAAGACACUUACCAUAAGCCAGAGGGAUAAUGAACAACCACCACAACUAAGAAUUCCACUUAGUUUCCAGAAAUUAUCCCAGUCUCAUAACUUCACUUGUCUAAUUCCUGAGAAUACAUAUUUCAAUAUGUGGGCACAAUGACAUUUCUUAUGCUAAGAAUUUAUCCUGACAGAAAAUUCUAACAAAUCUGGGCUAAUUGUGAAUAUGUAUGUAUGUAAGUAUGUAUGUAUGUAUGUA